CCACGCGAGGCUCACUCGGCGGUCAGGAAGAGGAAAGCUGCUCUGGGAAUAGCAAACUCCAGGGAGCCAGGAUUACAGGCACGUGGGGGAGGCAGCGGAGGUGGCUGUUUCACACUCUGUCACAAUGGAGGUAGCAGUUUCCUUUUGAGGGACUGGAAAUGUGACCUACUUCCUUGUAACAAGGAUGCUGCGUCAGCACUUGGAUGGAAAACACAGGUGAAGGAUGUGCUCCUCCCCAGACAGAACAAGAAAGAAAAAGAGACCUAUUAUGGGCACAAAGCCCUGACAAACUCCAGACAGCCCUGUUUUGGAUGCAGACAACAAUCACACAUGACAACUCAAGAGGAGUGAGGCAUGGAGCUAGUGAAGGCUGAGCAUGCUGUUCCGACUCUACGUCAGCAGCCUCAAGCCUCCGGGGCACAGCCCAUGUGUGCCUGCAACCCCGCUGGAUGCUGCCAGCUUCCACCAAGGUCCUACUGAUCCCUACCGGCCUGUUCCGCACCCAAGCCUGCCAUCUUGGUUUGGCCUUAUCACAAUUUUCACAGCACACCUGUCUUGCUCAGCAUUUUGAAUUCCAACAAAGACCUGAGGGGUCAGAGCCAAGUUGCAACAAAGGAAGACAGCACGGACAGAUACAAGAAGAGCUUAGGUGUCCCGUACAAGCCACAAGCCUCACUGUCACGUGAAGUAUUUAAAGCUGUAAAUAUCACCACAGGAAAAUCUCUGGUCUUUGCAGGAAC
rnacentral:lncRNA from 1 species